AGUGGAAACAGUGAUCGGCAACCCUCUGAUUGGUCGGCGAAAAUGUCGACGGAGCGCGCUCGGCUCGGUAUUUUUCGGCAGCAGAGCAAGAACUCUUGAGUGAGGGAUUUCAGGAGUUUCAGAGUUUAAUUAAAACGCAAGGGAACACUGCAAAGGCUGCAAAAGCAAGGAGAGAGGGCUGGCAGAAAGUUGCUGACAAAUUAAACUCCAACCAAGAAAAGGGCAGAGCAACAAAAGACAGGUGGUGGUCCUGCACCCCCUCGUCAACAAGUUGGUUAAGUGAAUAAUACCCUCACGGGAAAAUCGAUAUCUCUCUAUGAGCACACUGAGCUAAAGGAUCCUGUCUGUCCCGCAAUAUACGCUGGAUUCUGAGGACUCUCCUUAUCAAUCUUGCACCUUCCGCAAUGGGUGGCUCGCGUAUACAGACAGGACAUGGCUGCGACAGGCUUCCCAAAUCCACCUUCGCUUUUAUAGCCGUGGUCUCCCAUCUUGAUUACAUGAAGUAAUUUACAAUUACUACUCUGAAAUAUGAAUUACAUCUGUAAUAAUCACAUACAUGUAAUAGAAUGUUAAUAGUACAUUUCCCU
ensembl:lncRNA